CAGUGGUCCUGCUGGUUAUCAGUGUUCUGCUGGCUGCUGCUCUCAUCAUUAUCAUCAGACUCUUUUUUGUCAUCUUGGUGAGCAAUAAAUCUGUUCAAACUGUGAGAGAGGAGAAUGAAGCUCUGAGGAAAAACCUCUCAGAAAUAACCUGGGGAGAUCAGCCAACAUGUCCUCCUCCUUCAUGUCCUCCUCCUCCUUCAUGUCCUCCUCCU